rnacentral:rRNA from 1 species
CAAUAGCGUAUAUUAAAGUUGUUGCAGUUAAAAAGCUCGUAGUUGGAUUUGUGGCGUACGGUGUGUUCCGGGCACUUGUUGUCUGAGUAACCUGCUGUUGCCAUCCUUGGGUGGAACCUGUGUGGCAUUAGGUUGUCGUGCAGGGGAUGCCCAUCAUUUACUGUGAAAAAAUUAGAGUGUUCAAAGCUGGCUUAUGCCGUUGAAUAUAUUAGCAUGGAAUAAUGAGAUAGGACUUUUUUGCUAUUUUGUUGGUUUGCGCAAAGAGGUAAUGAUUAAUAGGGACAGUUGGGGGUAUUCGUAUUCCAUUGUCAGAGGUGAAAUUCUUGGAUUUUUGGAAGACGAACUACUGCGAAAGCAUUUACCAAGGAUGUUUUCAUUAA